GUCACUGUCGUUUUGAUCUCCCGCCAUCGCUCCCGCUCAUUUUCUCUCUCUCUACUGCCGGAAGCGCAAUGGCCACCUCUCUUGCCGGCGGCGAUUUCCAGCGGAGCAUUGGCUGUAAUUUGCGGGAUCGCCGAACGGCCUUUGACUCGAUCGGUAUAUUUUCUCCGUCGACUCCAUUCGCGGAGUUCUCUCCCUCGUCGACUCCAUUGUCGUUACUUCCAAGAGCUCCAUUCCUAUGUUCCCUCUUUCGAAGAUGAGUUGGUUUCUUUCUCCGACCUGCCCCCUCACUCUGCUUCUCUCAGACGCCCUUCUCGAUUUCUCCAACUGCCAGAUUUCUAUUGCUUUAACCCUCUGUAAAACCCUAACUAUUCUGCUGUACAGAUCGAUCGCCAUCGACGGAUGUUUCCAUGGCAGAAAGGAUCAGAGUGGUUCGAUUGCUCUCUUUCACCGGCUCAAUCUCGGAAUCCUCUAUCUCUCUCUCGCGCGCACGCAUUUUUGUCUAAAAUUUGGAGUUGCAGCGCCUAGCUUUUGAGAUACGGGGAAUACUGUGGGCCCUGUAUGACGCAUGAUGCCAGCUGUGUCGUGGCCCAAGAAUGGCGAAUCCUCUUCCCCAGUCUCCACUUCGGGUUAUUUCGUUAGAAAUUUCAUGAAUCGGACCUUAACCGACUCGAAUCGAAGUGGGGGAAAUUAGGGCAAAGGGGCCAAGAUGAAGUGAUCAAGAGAGAAACGCAGAUGAGAAGGAAUCUGAAUGCUUCGUAAGAUGAAUUGGCUGUCACGAGAGUGGGAGACGUGGGCUUCGCGUCUUCGUCCAGAACCUCCAUUAUCGGUUCAGAGCAAGAAAAGGGUAGGGCAUGCACAACUACUCUUCCGGUACACUCACGGUCCUAAUAGUCGUCCUCUAAUGCAUCAUUUGGUACAAUAUGAGUCCAUGGCGCUGUUCUUGUUCGAGUACAGAGGUGGAGAUUGGGAAAGAUGGGAAGCUUGGUGUCAUGGCGAGGAAGUCAGCGAGUGGUUGGAAAUUUUAUUGGGUCGGUCUUACGGCAGAGCUCACUCUGGCCUUUCGUUGACUCUCUGGCCUUCGAAUUUGACCAACGCCGAGACUUAUUCUCGUAAUCGUCGAGGAAGCCGAUGCUCCGGCGAUCGAGUUUUAAUCAUUCUGAUUUCUGUUUGGUAAAUGCGAGUGGACGGCUGGCGUUAGACGGAGUUGCUGCGGGCCAAGAACCAGAAGAGUUGCUCUUAUGGUGUUUGGCACACUGCUGCCGUUUUUGAAGCAAUUAACGAACUUUCUGAUUCUGAUUCUGCUACUUCAGUGCACCCUUCAUAGGAAAGUUUCACACUUGAGGCGACGGAGACGAAGGAGCACUAUUGUGCUUCGAGAGCUGUUGCUGCUGCAACAUUUGUUGAUCAAAUGUUGUCUUGCUUGGUACUAGAGUGGUUAUGUUAGUUAUUUUGAUGCAACAUUGAAUGAAGAUGUACAUCCACGAAUUGAACCAUCCAUUGCAACUCCAAAUAUAUUGAGUUGAACCGCUGGAGUUGUUGUUGAUCAAAUGCUUGGACUAAAGGAGGAGAUUUGACAAUAGUCUUGGUUGAGAAGCUGAUAUAGUAAUACUUCGUCACCAAAAUCUAUUUUUUAUUAGUCGUUUGGUAGCCUCAAAGAAUGGAAAAACUAUUCCCAAGCUUUUGGGAUACUUUGCUGGUUAGGUCAAGAGACAAAGCAUUUCAAUGUUGGAAAGAUGUGACUCUUAUCCUUCAUAUGCUUGGUACUGAAUGAUGAAGGAACUUUAGAUUUCAAUAUGACUAUGUUUUCUUUCUUGUAAUAGCAUCGACCCCUAAGCAUGGAGCUAAUCAGGUACGUUUUCAAACAAGAUACAUGUUUGUCUGUUCUUUUGUAGCGAUUUUAUUAUUUUGUCUGGAGAUAGAAUCUUUAUGCUGCUACUUAGUAAAAAUGACAUAACACUUUGGGGAUAAAACCAACCACUAGAUGCAAUACAAAAUAUUUGGGAAAACAUGAUUGAGUUCUAAUCAUAUAGGUACUUGGAGUGCCAGAUAAACUUAUAUGUGCAGUAAGAUUAAAUUUUCAGAACUGAUCCCUGAAGGCAUAUCCCUGUUUUCUUUUUAGAUCAUUAUGAUAGCUUUUGUCACCCUUUCAAUUUGAUUAUCGCCACUGAUGUUGGAGCCUGAUUAUAAGUCUUCUAUUCUUUUGAAUUGGAGUCCUGUUGUAAUGAUGUAGUUUUGUUUAUUGGCUCCUUAACGUGAGGUUUCUUUUAGUUGCUGGUUUUUCUCAUUAAAAAAACCUAGCCUCCUCGAAUGUGGCAACAUCCACCCGACUAUGUCUUCUCUUCUUAUUUUAUAGACAUAGUGAGUCUUUAUCGAGAAAUGUCUAUGGAACUUAAGCAAUAGUCCAAGCAACAAUCUCCAACACAAACAUAACUCAACAAUUAAGGUAUUUAUUCCUUCCCUUAGGUCAGAGGUUCAAACCCCCACCCCAUAUUUAUUGUACUAAAAAAUAAUAGUCCACGACAAUCGAGAUGAGAAAAAAAGCAGCGAUGUUGGACUACUACCCUCCCCCAUGCUCAUAUGGCGAGCUCUAAUUCUACAGGUAUAGUUAUCUCCACCUUGAUAAUCUCCACCUUGAUUAUAACUUCCAUUCUACUCGCCACAAGAUCUUAGGUUUUGUCUGUAUUAAAGUUUCUUCAUUCCAUAACUUUGCACCCACCCUCCAUAGGAAGAGAUUGCAUUUAUUCUACAAAUCAUGUUAGGGUUUGCAAAGGGAGUGCAAACAAAAGUCCCACAUUGGUUAGGGAAAGAGAUGAUCAUGGAUAUUUAAAGAUAAGACAGUUACCACUAUUGUUAUGAGAUCUUUUAGGUGGAACCAAAAGUAAAGCCGUGAAGGCUAUGUCUAAAGCAGACAAUAUCAUACUAUUAUAGAGAUACGUGCAACUUUUUCAGGGCGGUCAGGUCUGAGAAAUCAAUGGCGAUAUUUCCAUUGAUCCACUCCUUAUAAGGCUAACCAGAUACCAUUCUCUAAACUAUGAUGAAACCAGAUAUCAUUCUAUCUUGUUGAGAUCUGCGCUCUACCUGCUGUUCCUUUUACUACCCCUGUGAAAGAUCUUGCUCUUGUCUUACUCCUUAACCUCAUCACUUCUUCACUUCCCACACUUUUCACUCAGUUUUUUUUUCCAUCUUCCAUGCCUGAUGCCUCCCUAUUGAAAUCCUCCGGAGAAUUUUUUGAUAGUGUUCUUGUUUCUAGUUUUUGAGAAACUCUACAUUGGAUAAUUAGAUGCUCU